GAGUGGCGGUAGCCUCGGAAACAACAUUCUCCCCAGGGCUGCGUGGAAGAUCUAGGGGUUCUCGAGGGUCGUGGAAAACGUUCACCUUACUUCACUGUUCCUUAGGACCCAACUCCUCAAUGCACUGUGUCUUGGGAGCAGAAGCAGCACUCUCUGUGUGUGUUUGGAGCUUCCAGAGAGAAAAAAACCGGUAUCAGCGAGUAGAUGUUUGGAGGGUAUGGCGAGGGGGAAUCUUUGCUUUAACAAUCAAAACAUCAAAUUCCUUAAAGGUGUACAAGGAGUGCUGAAGAUAUUCACUGGAAUGAGGAGUGGGAACUCGCUAUGGAGUUAAAGGGCAUGCCAAUAGCUGAAAGCUUCCAGGAAAAUGGAGCUAAGACUACUUAUCAAGAACUGUCCUCUGUAGCAGGCUCGCAUUGAUUAGCAUGUGGUCCUGGUAACAUUACUGCAUUCCUAACAAAUGCUGUGUCCUUGUGUUCCUAUGUGUACACAGUACUUGGCAUACUGUAGGUACAUAACCAGUGUGUGUUGUAAGAUUGCUUGUUCAAACCAAAUUUUGACUUGAUAAAUGCCCCUUACUGAACCAAGAUAUGCAAUUAGCCUCAGUCACUAUGAUACCCACUUAUGCUAAUCUGACUUCUGUUUUCUGGGAUUCCCUAAUUGCAGUUCAACAGGUCAGAACAGGUACCUUGUAACAAAGUCCAGUACAGCUGUCAUUUGUUACUAAUGAAGGAAGACUAACAUUUGUGAGCACACUGAUUCACCAGUUUUGUUGUUUUUCUUUUCUUUUUUUCAGACAGGGUUUCUCGUUGUAACCCUGGGUGUUCUAGAACUCACCCUGCAGAUUAUGCUGGGCUUGAAACCAGCAAUCUGCUUCCCAAGUGCUGGAAUUAAAGGUGUGCACCAGCAUUUCCUGGCCCCUCCAUUUUUCAGUCAACCAGGGACUAUGAAGAUGGUGCCAGAGAUUAUAAUGGAGCUGAAAAAUCUGUAUCACUUAGUGGUGUCGUAGCUGUCAUAGCUCUUUCAGUGUGACAGUGCAAGACAGAUCUACAGCGUUUGUGAUGAUGCUGAUACCAACAAGUCCUCUCUACCGUUGUGGACCAUGACUCCUGAUUGCAUCAAAAAGGACAUAAAAUGCUGAUUGCUGUACCCAGAGAUCUGGUUAUAGUCCAGACAUUGGCAUUGUCAUGAUAUUUGGAGCAUCCCCUGUCUCAAGGAUACGUAAAACUUCUUUUCUUCACCUGUGACUGGUUAAUAAAGAGCUGAUGCAGCCUAUGAAGGGUCAGAAGAAAAUAGGGUGCAACUUCUGAUCCCAGUCAUGCGGUCCAAAGCAAGAAGAAGAAGAAGAAGAAGAAGAAGAAGAAGAAGAAGAAGAAGAAGAAGAAGAAGAAGAAGAAGAAGAAGAGAAGAGGCAGAUUCACCCUAAACAGAUGGUCGGGAACUCCCCAUGAGGUCACCAUGAGGAGAAGAUGGAUGGAGCAGGAACAGCCAGGGCAAGACAAAGAUGGCAGACUCCGGAUGUAGACUCAGGUGGCCACAUCCCAGGCUGAUGCUACAGGGCCACAUUCAGGAUUCCAUGCAUCUCCAAGUUGACGGUCUUGCUUCUCUUCGCCUGCCCAUGCCUCAGACAGUGAGUCCCAAGGCACCCGGCAUCCAGUGACUGUUAGAGCCAGAAGAGAAACAAAACACUGAAGUUCUGGCAAAAGUGCACAGCGACUACAGGAUGUCCUGUUACAUUAUCUGGUCAGGCAGACGCAUGACUCACUGUACAGUAUGACACAUCGGAAAUGGGUUUAUUGUGCAUCAGUCCUCUCCCUCAUAAAUAUUAAACACGUAGAUGUGAUGAUAGCAAGCUAUCUUUGUCCUAAUAUAAAGGUUUCUGAUGUACUUUCUUUUUGAAAAAGAAGAAAUUUCAGACAUAUUGGUGAUGAUAAGAAAAAGUACGGGGACCUCACAUUAAACUGCCUUUGAAGCAUCCCCACGUUCCUGCAGCUCCCCUUCUGAAGGCGAGAGUAAUAAAUGGUGUAAAAAGGUAGUUCUGUGCAUUUCACUGUUGUCUUCCAAAGCUGGGAUGGUGUUUGCCCAACUACAAAGCCUCCAGCCGUUCACCCACAGUAGAAGGCUAUGCUGUGGGUGGGCGUGUACCUCAGUGGCAGUGCUUGCCUAGCAUGCUCAAGGCUCUGGGUUCAAUCCCAAGCACAAGAGGGAUAUACUUUUAAAACUCACCAGUAGUUGAAUAAUAAUAAUCACAAAUGUAAGUUGAAAAAUAAUAACCAUUCACAUAAUCAUAAAAAGGGACCAACAUAUUUUCUCAUUGUGAAGAUGUAAAAAUGAAUUUCAUGCAGUCAAUUCUACAAUCCUUUGAGAAAUGAAACUGAAUGAAGAGCUCAUGGUGGAGGAGUGUUCUUCCUCUUUUUAAAAUGGUGUGCUUUUUUAUAGGAGCCUAAAAUGUCUGCUGUACACAGACACUCCUUGAUUACAUUGUGUCAGAGAAUCUUGGUGUCUACUUUCAGUAUAGGAUGACAACUGAACUACAUUGUUGUGUUGUUCUGUAUCUAAGACAGGAUCACACUCUGUAGUUCAAACUCACCUGGAAUUCACUCCAUAGCUCAAGCUGGUCUCAAACUUGCAGUCAUCCACCUAGCCCAGCUUCCCAACUGCUGGAAUUACAGGUGAGAGCAAAUAGUGCCAUCAGGUCACAUCAUUUGUGAAAAGAAAUACUUUUGCAAAGAAAGAAAAUGUCCUUCAGUCCAAUCACUGAAAUUGCUAAAUGAUAAAAUUUAGACUUAGUUUUAGACCUUUCAUGAGUUUGCAGAUUUUGACCCUAAUAAUGUGUGUGUGCAGGGUAGUAUGUGUACAAAUACAUGUGAGUGCAUGUGGGUAUGUGUGUAAAGGUAUGUGUAUGUAGGUCACAGUGUGUAUAGGAUGAUAAAUGCACACAGAUAUGUGAGUGUUUUGUAUUUGAGAGGGGAGAUGUGUUCAAGGGUCUUUUAAAAGGUAAGAGUGUAUAUGUAGAAGUUCAUUGUAAGUAAACAUUGUAAGCUCGUGUAUGUUUAUGGAUGAAUAUAGGGAAAUACUGGGCUCUUAAGACACAUGUGUUAACUUCAUGUAAAUGCAGAUACUUGUGUGCAUAGACUAUUACUGGGAAAUGUAUUCUGGGGUAGUAUUCUGGAAGUGAAUUGGCUGUGUGUGUGUGUGGGGGGGGGGGUUGUGAUAUUAGAAGCUAAACCAGUCGUGGAAGCUGGACUGUGCAGAGCCUUCAGAUCAAGGACAAGCAUUGUGACAUCACUGAGAACAGUUAGUAGGACAGAGAGGGAGGAGAAUCUACAUAA